AGUGAACGCUGGCGGUAGGCCUAACACAUGCAAGUCGAACGGCAGCACAGUAAGAGCUUGCUCUUACGGGUGGCGAGUGGCGGAUGGGUGAGGAAUACAUCGGAAUCUACUUUUUCGUGGGGGAUAACGUAGGGAAACUUACGCUAAUACCGCAUACGACCUACGGGUGAAAGCAGUGGAUCUUCGCACCUUGCGCGAUUGAAUGAGCCGAUGUCGGAUUAGCUAGUUGGCGGGGUAAAGGCCCACCAAGGCGACGAUCCGUAGCUGAUCUGAGAGGAUGAUCAGCCACACUGGAACUGAGACAUGGUCCAGACUCCUACGGGAGGCAGCAGUGGGGAAUAUUGGACAAUGGGCGCAAGCCUGAUCCGGCCAUACCGCGUGGGUGAAGAAGGCCUUCGGGUUGUAAAGCCCUUUUGUUGGGAAAGAAAAGCAGCAGGUUAAUACCCCGCUGUUCUGACGGUACCCAAAGAAUAAGCACCGGCUAACUUCGUG
rnacentral:rRNA from 1 species